AUCAAUAAAUAAUAAGUCUUCUUUUUUUUUAUUCCAGGAAAUGUACUUAUCUUCCUCUUGUUGAAAGAUAAAAAUAGCUAAAUAAUAAUGUAGUAUAAAAGCUGGUUUUUUUGUAAUUUUUUGUAAUUAAAACUAAAAAGAUGAUUGCCUUGUACUUCAGAUGAGAUUGUAAGACUGAGAGAAUAACAUGACAAAGGUAUCCAACAAUUGAAGUCUGGGCAGUUGUAUUUUACACUACACUGGUACUCUGAACAUGAAGGAAGUAUAAUUGUGUGUUACAGUGCAACAACUACAUUAAGUGUUGGAGUUCUUUUCCAUAGCUCUUAAAUUCACUCUUCUCUUUCAGAAAACUACUAAGUGCUAAGACAAGAUAGGCUGUGUUUCUGUGGCUGAUUUGAAGAGGGAUAUGUACCUAAGAGUAAGAUUUUAUUUCCUUGCUUGACUGUUGUUAUUACAUCCAUGAAUUAAAAAUAAUAUUUCAAACACAGUUAUUAUUUAUAUAAUCCUACUACAUUGCUAUUUUCUAAAAGCAGAAAUGUUGCAUGAACAUGCACACACUUAUCCAUUUGAAAUUAACUUUAUUUUACCAGAAAAACAUUCAGAGAGGGUCAAUUCUUUAUAAAGGGUAAACCCCCAAAUUCUUACUAGUGGAUUAACAGCAGUAUUUAUAGACAUUAAGGUGCAGUUAUUCAAUAGUAUCCAGUUACCUAAUUCUAUUAAUCUCAGCAAGCACACAUUUACAUUUCUGGCAUAUAAAAUACUUCUGUAAAUCUUUCUCCUGAUUUAUAACUUAAAUAUGUAUUGUCACUUUCUACAUGUACAAUAUUUCUGAUUUUUCUUCUUUCUGUAUUUGGGAUUAUCACAUGCCUUCCCUUUGGGUUACAAGUAUGGAAGCAAAGAACAAAGAAUUGUUGAAGUGUCUUUGGAAGAAUGCCAGUGGCCUGGUGCUGCAGAGACUGGAGGAAAAUAAACCAAACCAACCAGUGGAAGGAUCAGAUACAGCCAGCCUGGGAGAAGUGGGGAGCAGAUCAGCACAGACAAAGCAUUGAAACCGUCUGUUUGGAAGAGUAGAAGAUACUGUUUGGGAGGUUUUACUAAAGUAGAGGAUCAUUCAUUUUGUAGACAAUUUUGAGAAUCCUGUGGUAAAAACUAUUAGGAAAUUACUUUUUAGCUAGUGGGCAAACUCGUUCUUGCAAUGAAUCUGACUCUUUAAUGAGAAAAUAUUCCAUUUGUUGCUGCUUCUUUUGCAAAAAUAUUUACAGGUUCUCUACUGUUCUUCUUAGCAUAUGCCUGUUACUCUUUUCCAUAUAAUUGCUAAAUUUCCUAACCAGGAUUUCAGCAUUUUCCUCAGAAGAUUGUAUUAGAGUCUAAUGGAUCAGAAAAUAUUUUCUAAUAUACAUCUAAAAUUAUCUUUUUCUCAAGUGAGAGCUUCAGAGCUGGGCACAGCACUCCAGGGAGGGUCUUCAAUAAGCCGAAAUCCUGCACCCUUGACAGAGAAGACACUGCCCAUGGACUAACCUCCACAGCACAUAACACUGUGUCACAGAUGGCCACAGAUGAUCACUAUACAAUUUCAGAAGGCUUUAAGCGUUCACCUAUAUAGAGUAACACCAGACCACAUCAGAAGGCUUCAAGCAUCUGCCCACACAGAGCAACAUCAUCUCACUUCAGAAGACUAACUUGUGGAAAAAAGGAAACACUUCAAUCCUUCCAAAGUGCUAUAUUACCAAGCCUGGAAACAAUUAAUCAACAGAAAUUUGCUUCUAUCAAUGUCUUAGCUUCAGAUCUUCAAUUACUGCUGAAUGAAAAAUUUGUAACCUGACUCAAACCUAGUUCACGUUUGUGAGUCAGCACACAAAACAUAUACUCUCCAUCACUGGGAAGUGCUUGCUCUCUAGGAUACUGCCCUCCUCCUAGAUGUAAAUUAAUUAAAAGUCUGGUUGUACAGUAAGUCCAGGAGACAAAAGAAAGGAGCCUUGUGUUACUCCAUCAUACAGUUCUGAGCUGCUCAGUAAUUUCACAAGACGUAAUGAAUGAACCAACUUCAAUGUGAACCACCAGCCUGUGAGCUCUGUGUAUGCCUUAUACACUACAUCUCUUGAUUAUUACCUAUAAGCACUGCUGAGAUCAGGCUCCCAAGUGCAGUAACACAAUAUGGCACUGCUGCUGCCAUGAAGUUCUCCAGCUCUGGCAGAAGUCACUAUGGGGCCUGUGAAUGCAGGAUAAGAACAGACUGAAAUUUCACCUCCAGCUUCUAGUUUUCCUGAAGCGACUUUUCUUCCUUCUACUCUUCCACUUUCUGAACAUGCUGAGCUUGAGAAUGUCUAUUCAGUGAAGAAUUAUGAACUAUAGCAGAAUUCAUAGCAACACUCAGGACCUACUGAAAGAGCAGAGAAAAAAUGAUCUUCAUAAAAAAACAAAAAUAUGUAACUAUGCAACAGUGAGCACAACUGCAGCUAAUAUUUGUGUGACCUUCAAUAUUAUGCAGCCACAGGAUAAAAUACAGUAGCUAUUUUUUUCAUUGUCUAUGCUGUCACUGUCAUGGAGCACAUUCCAGAACGAGAGAAGAGGGAAAUAACAGUCCACUGAUGAACAAUUACAACAUGCCUAGUUAGAAGUCUGCAAAUGGGUGCAAAAAUCUGGAAGGUCUGGUUAAUCUUAUGCAAAACCUAACCAUGAGGUGCCCAACCAUGUGCUCUAGAUAGCACGAGUGCCAUCCAUCGUCAUAUUUCUGACUACUUUACAGGUUGAACAGACAAGGUCAACAGGAUCCCUCUGAGGAAUUAAGUUUUCUUAGUGAGAAUGUUUGGGAGAUCUUGUAUUUGUACUUGGAAACUGUAGAUGUUGGAAGAUUGCAAAGGCAAUACCAAGAGUGGUGAUGUGUAAUGUGUAAUGUUAUGUGUUUGAGUUUCUUUUCAAGUAUGUGUGGAGGGACACAUUUAAAGAAAAAUAAGUAUAAAAUUUACUCAGUAUUUUAAGUGUGUUUUUAUGGAUAUUUUUCUUUUUGAAAAGCUGUAAUGUUAAAUUUUUGACUAAGAAUAGAACAGCCAUCUAGGUCCCACUCUGGAUGAAGAAUAUGACAUUUUGUGUUUAUAGUUUGAUGAUGACAAGGAAGCAGAGCUGACAUGACCAUGACUGAUGAAAUAAAAUGCAUUAUUCAAACACCUCCAAAAUUUGAAAAACUUUUAAAUGGCAAGAAUUUUAGAAUCAAAAGGAGGUAUGCAGAGUGCACAGUGAGUAUGACAUUGCAGCUACUUUAUGAUCAAGAGGUUCUAGCUAGUAGCCAUUGUAGGCUAAUCCUUACAUUAAUUAAAAAAGAAGUAAAAUCUUGUCAAAUAAGCAAAACCACGAAAGAGAGCUGCCUAACACUUAGCUCACUUCUUGAAAUUAAAUAUUGUGGCUCAAGAUCCCUUUUUUUAAACACAGAUUUUUGUGGGUGAUCAAUGAAGGCUGAGUGCUUUGAUCAUGUCCUCUUUACUGUGCCCACUCUUCAUGUCAGAGAUGAAGGGCAGGGAAUUGUUAUGCUUUGGCAGUUCUGUGCCACCCCAAGUUGCUCCUAUUCAGGGAAAUGCCCUGACUGGAUGUUUAAGCUGACUUCUACCCUCAUUUACAUCAACACAAAAAAUACCAGAGAUUCUGGUGUCAGAGUCUUUUUCUCCUUCAAAUGGAAAAUCAAACAGCAUGACUGAACUUGGAAGACUGAGCAAGCAGCUUCAUCUGAAUAAAGAAGGACAAAAAGGGAAGAGAAAGUAGUUGAUGCAAAAGCAUGUUUUUGUAUUUGUGCUUUGCACUUUGACUCCAGUGGAACCAGAUAUCCUUCUGAGCCUGACCUGGGAAAAAUAGUCCCUAUGUCAUGUGUCCUAUAAAAGGCUCAGCAAAGCCUUCCAUUGCUCUGAAAGUGUAGCAUUUUAAAUAAAUUGCUUUUCAAUUGAAAGGAGGGCUAAGGCAUUCAGACACUUCUCUGGUUCUUAAAUAUUCUUUGUGGGCAGUUAUUUUUAUAUAAAUAUAUUUAGUAGCUUACACAUAUUAAUGUUUUUUUUAAAUGUAAGGGUAUGUGAUUUUAUAUGUUCAUUGUUAUAUUAUUUUAUUGUUUUAUUUAUAUACAUAAUUUUAUGUAUCUUUCUAUGUAUCUACAUUUGUAUUUAUUUCUUCCUUUACAUAAAAACAAUAAAGAAACCACUCUAAUUGGAUUGUA